GCGAUGAUUGGGGUGAAGUCGUAACAAGGUAGCCGUAUCGGAAGGUGCGGCUGGAUCACCUCCUUUCUAAGGAG
rnacentral:rRNA from 1 species